CCUAUGGGAGGCAGCAGUGAGGGAUAUUGGUCAAUGGGGGAAACCCUGAACCAGCAACGCCGCGUGAGGGAAGACGGUUUUCGGAUUGUAAACCUCUGUCCUCUGUGAAGAUAAUGACGGUAGCAGAGGAGGAAGCUCCGGCUAACUACGUGCCAGCAGCCGCGGUAAUACGUAGGGAGCAAGCGUUGUCCGGAUUUACUGGGUGUAAAGGGUGCGUAGGCGGCGAUGCAAGCCAGGAGUGAAAGCCCGGGGCCCAACCCCGGGACUGCUCUUGGAACUGCGUGGCUGGAGUGCAGGAGGGGCAGGCGGAAUUCCUGGUGUAGCGGUGAAAUGCGUAGAUAUCAGGAGGAACACCGGUGGCGAAGGCGGCCUGCUGGACUGCAACUGACGUUGAGGCCCGAAAGCGUGGGGAGCAAACAGGAUUAGAUACCCCUGUAGUC
rnacentral:rRNA from 1 species